rnacentral:lncRNA from 1 species
AUAAACUCAAAUAAGUUAGACAUUAGACAAUGGCCAACUCCAGCUUCUCAAAAUCGCUUCAUCUCGUCUUUUUUAUUGUGUUCCUUAUCUCAGGUAGUUACUUUCACUCUCUCUAAACUACAGUUAGCUAGUAAUUCGUACGUUUAAAUGUUUCUCAGUCUCUCAGCCACUCUGUGGCUUCAUAUUAUUAACUUGUUUGAUCUUUUGCUUAUUUUCACAUGAAAAUUGUACAAAUUAAUUCAACAAGAAUUGCCAAUCCUAAUUAAAUUGUUUAGGACUUAUAAGCGAUAUGUUUUUGCUAAUUUUUUUAGUUCAUGUCUAUAAUUGAUUUUUGGUUGAAGGCUGUGAGUUUAUAUAUAAUUUAGUGCUACUAUCAGAGGCGGAUCUACAGUGCCAUGAAUGGUUCAGUUGAACCUUAGUCGAUUUGGUUCAAACUGUAUAUUUUUCUUUUAACAAUUAUAGCAUAUGUAUAAAUUAUUAAUUUAGAAUGCAGUAAUUUAAAAUAAUUAGAAUCAUGAACUCAUAAGUUUAAAAUCGACUGACUCUACCUCAGGCAAUAUUAUCUACUACUACUAUCUAUUAUAUGAGAUUAAUUAUAAGGGAAUGAAAUCAUGGAAAUCUUGUCCCUCUCUUUACAAUUAGAAAAAUGUUGGCUUAUGUUGCAGUUGGCAAGGGAAUAGAGGCAAAAACAUGUAGCGAAGAGUUGCAAGGGAUAAAAGUAGUGUGUCAAGGAAGCAAAGCAGAUGGUCCAUGUUGGGAAGCAUGUCAAAACAAACACGGCGCAAGUGGCACAGCUAGCUGCAUCUACCCGCCUCAGUUAACCACUCCAACUUGCUGGUGUACUUGGGAUUGCUAACUAUAUAUUGAAUUCAUGUUCUACUCAUAUAUGAGCAAUAUUAAUUAUGUUGUGGUUCUUUUAUAUAAUUUGAGAAAAUAUAUAUAGUGCUUUGACGUUCA